rnacentral:rRNA from 1 species
UACGUAGGGUGCAAGCGUUGUCCGGAAUUAUUGGGCGUAAAGAGCUCGUAGGCGGUCUGUCGCGUCGGAUGUGAAAAUCCAGGGCUCAACCCUGGACCUGCAUUCGAUACGGGCAGACUAGAGUUCGGUAGGGGAGACUGGAAUUCCUGGUGUAGCGGUGAAAUGCGCAGAUAUCAGGAGGAACACCCGUGGCGAAGGCGGCUCUCUGGGACGGUACUGACGCUGAGACGCGAAAGCGUGGGGAGCGAACAGG